rnacentral:rRNA from 1 species
CCUACGGGAGGCAGCAGUGGGGAAUUUUGGACAAUGGGCGCAAGCCUGAUCCAGCCAUGCCGCGUGCAGGAUGAAGGCCUUCGGGUUGUAAACUGCUUUUGUACGGAACGAAAAGACUCUGGUUAAUACCUGGGGUCCAUGACGGUACCGUAAGAAUAAGCACCGGCUAACUACGUGCCAGCAGCCGCGGUAAUACGUAGGGUGCGAGCGUUAAUCGGAAUUACUGGGCGUAAAGCGUGCGCAGGCGGUUAUAUAAGACAGAUGUGAAAUCCCCGGGCUCAACCUGGGAACUGCAUUUGUGACUGUAUAGCUAGAGUACGGCAGAGGGGGAUGGAAUUCCGCGUGUAGCAGUGAAAUGCGUAGAUAUGCGGAGGAACACCGAUGGCGAAGGCAAUCCCCUGGGCCUGUACUGACGCUCAUGCACGAAAGCGUGGGGAGCAAACAGGAUUAGAUACCCUGGUAGUCCACGCCCUAAACGAUGUCAACUGGUUGUUGGUCUUCACUGACUCAGUAACGAAGCUAACGCGUAGAAGUUCGACCGCCGUCGGGAGGUACGGCCGCGACGGUAGAACGUACGAAAGGAAGUUAGACGGACGUGAGACGUAGACCGACGGACGACGACGAGGGGAGGAGG